rnacentral:rRNA from 1 species
CCUACGGGAGGCAGCAGUGAGGAAUAUUGGUCAAUGGCCGGAAGGCUGAACCAGCCAUGCCGCGUGAAGGUCAGUGCCCUAUGGGCGUUAAACUUCUUUUGUGCGGGAGCAAUAAUGGUCACGUGUGGCCAGACGAGAGUACCGUACGCAUAAGCAUCGGCUAACUCCGUGCCAGCAGCCGCGGUAAUACGGGGGAUGCAAGCGUUAUCCGGAUUUAUUGGGUUUAAAGGGUGCGUAGGCUGUGAGGUAAGUCAGCGGUGAAAUGCCCCCGCUCAACGGGGUGAAGUGCCAUUGAUACUGCCUGGCUGGAAUGCGGAUGCGGUGGGAGGAAUGUGUGGUGUAGCGGUGAAAUGCAUAGAUAUCACACAGAACACCGAUUGCGAAGGCAUCUCACGAAUCCGCGAUUGACGCUGAUGCACGAAAGCGUGGGUAUCAAACAGGAGUAGAUACCCUUGUAGUC